rnacentral:rRNA from 1 species
UACGAAGGGGGCUAGCGUUGCUCGGAAUCACUGGGCGUAAAGCGCACGUAGGCGGACUCUUAAGUCGGUGGUGAAAUCCUGGAGCUCAACUCCAGAACUGCCUUCGAUACUGGGAGUCUCGAGUUCGGGAGAGGUGAGUGGAACUGCGAGUGUAGAGGUGAAAUUCGUAGAUAUUCGCAAGAACACCAGUGGCGAAGGCGGCUCACUGGCCCGGUACUGACGCUGAGGUGCGAAAAGCGGUGGGUAGCAAACAGGA